GAAAUGCGAUAAGUAAUGUGAAUUGCAGAAUUCCGUGAAUCAUCGAAUCUUUGAACGCACAUUGCGCCCUCUGGCAUUCCGGGGGGCAUGCCUGUCCGAGCGUCAUUACGCACCCUCAAGCCCGGCUUGUGUGAUGGGCCCGGGCGUCUCGUUCGCGAGACGGGCCCGAAAGGCAGCGGCGGCGUCGACCCGAUGAGCCCGAGCGUAUGGGGACUUCUGUCACACGUUCGCGGUGCGGACCGGCGCCUGCUUGACUUUUCUGAUUAUCCAGGUUGACCUCGGAUCGGGUAGGGAUACCCGCUGAACUUAAGC
rnacentral:misc_RNA from 1 species